rnacentral:piRNA from 1 species
UCUGUGAUGAGUUCCCUGUCUCUUUGCCGG